AGAAAGUAUGCAAGAACUGCUAAUUCAUGCCUCCGUGAUUACACCCACGGCUUUCUC
rnacentral:tRNA from 1 species